CGCCACUGCAUGCAUAUAUGGAUGAAGCUUUGAAGGGGACGCAAAACACAGCUUUGGCAACGCUGUUGAAUGCUGCUUGGCCGUCAUCACGCGUUUGCUGCCGAAAAGUUGAAAUAUUUCAACUCGAGCAGCAUUUGACGCGCCACAAAAUACGUGAACGCGCCUGCAGCGCGGGCACGGGCGUGCUGCGCUGCAAAUCAAAUCUUGCCACGCUCGAGCAUGCGUUGACAGGUUGACGCAAUGUUAACAGAGUUACUAUUGGCCGAAAAUUAAAGCAGGGGGGAGGGCUGAACACAAUGCGCCUGUUUAAUUGGCUUUUAUUUAGUUAUUUAGGUGCGAGAUGUGAAGGUAAAGCCUGAGGGAGUUUGACGUAAUGUAAAAGCCGAGUGUUCAUUGAUUUAACGUUACGCCGACGGGAGUAAUGACGACCGGCCCAACAAUUUUUACCGGUAUGUUUAUGUUGCAACAACAAGCUCUUCACGGACCCCUUGGCAACGCGCCGCGGACCCCCGGGGGUCCGGGGACCCCACUUUGAGAACCGAGGCUAUAGGUAACCGCGGAGAGAACCGGGCUUAAGCCCCGGGGCUUGAAGCUCACGAUAUCGUCCCUCACACGCGUUAGAUACAAUUCCCUCCCUUAGGCUUCAUAGUUACCAUACCGAAACAUGCCUACUUUAACAAAUAAAGUGAGUUAAAAGCGACCAAGGAUUGGACCACUUUCUUCCAGAAAUAACGCAAGAGCCACAAAAACAAGUGUAAUUCCCGCACAUAGCCACAAGAGGUCAGCACCAAGCCACAAACCAAGUUGCAAUGCCAACGCAUAGCCGCAAGUACUUCAUGAAAGGUUAGAAUUUCAAAUUGAGUGGCCAGAGCGACAUGUACUUCAAGCUACAAUGCCAAUGGGAUUCAGACAGUCAUUUGGACGUAGAGUGGCUGUGAUAAUUGACUGUUUCAAAGUUUUUAUUGAGAGGCCCUCUAAUUUACUUGCCCAAGCACAGACAUGGUUGAACUACAAGCAUCACCAUACUGUAACAUUUCUGAUUGGUGUUGCAUCCCAAGGCUAUGUCACUUACAUAUCUUGUGCCUAGGGAGUGUCAAUGAUAAACAGAUCACAAUAGAGGAGUGGCAUUAAAAACCUGUUGCCUGGGGAUGUUGUCCUAGCAGACCGUGGGUUUAAUAUUGGUGAUAGUGUUGGAUUUUACUGUGCUUCUCUACAGAUCAUUGGCCGGGUCUUCCUUCUCCCGUAUCGACCCCAGUUGUAGGGCGUGCGAGUGUUUUCCUCCUCUACCUGUUGCAGCGGGGAGCGAUCAGCUGAUUGAUCGAGUUGCACUUGUAAUUGUGCUGUUCGGUACAAGUGAUCCCCUUCCUCCCCUUUGAUGUUCAUUCAACUCCUGACGGGUUGACGUGUGUGUGUGGGCGGUAUCUGCCAGCUCGUUCCCCCCCCUCUUCACGCUGCUGUUGGCCGGCUGCUGUUUUGUCCACUGGUUUAUAUAGCCAACACAUCCAUCCUACUCUGCAUCUCCUACUGUGCGGUACCUGCCACCGAACACAGUGAGAAAGAUCCCUCAUCCUCACCCCUGCAAUAUCGAUUGUGGAGGUAGUCAUGAACAUUUAAAAACCUCUGUGACAAAGACCACUUUGCCAGUCCGCACCAUGGUCCCAGAAUGCCAGCCCCAUCCUCACCCCUGCAUCUCACCCAUCAACCUCCGCCUGCUACCCACCCGAUAUUCCAGCAGCUGAUACACCAGCCAUGCCUUCAUCAUCGACCCUGACAGGUGUGAUGAUAGGUGGUGAAGGGACUGCAAAACAACAAAAAGAAACAGUUGGCAAACAGAAUUAACAACUUCUUUGUUUUUCAACCAUAGCUACUAUUGCAAAUACUUACACGCAGGCCUUCUUGGCAACACUCCAGGUUUUAUUGUUCC
ensembl:lncRNA